GACGAACGCUGGCGGCAUGCCUAAUACAUGCAAGUCGAGCGAACAGAUGAAGUGCUUGCACUUCUGACGUUAGCGGCGAACGGGUGAGUAACACGUAAGGAAUCUACCUAUAAGCGGGGGAUAACAUUCGGAAACGGGUGCUAAUACCGCAUAAUAUCUUCUUCCGCAUGGAAGAAGAUUGAAAGACGGCUCUGCUGUCACUUAUAGAUGACCUUGCGGUGCAUUAGUUAGUUGGUGGGGUAACGGCCUACCAAGACGAUGAUGCAUAGCCGACCUGGGAGGGUGAUCGGCCACACUGGGACUGAGACACGGCCCAAACUCCUACGGGAGGCAGCAGUAGGGAAUCUUCCGCAGGGGGCGAAAGCCUGACGGAGCAAUGCCGCGUGAGUGAAGAAGGCCUUCGGGUCGUAAAACUCUGUUAUAAGAGAAGAACAAAUUGUAGAGUAACUGCUACAGUCUUGACGGUAUCUUAUCAGAAAGCCACGGCUAACUACGUGCCAGCAGCCGCCGUAA
rnacentral:rRNA from 1 species